AAAAGAAGCCCAACGCCCACCCACUAUAAGCCCACCUCGAUCGCUCGAGCCUAUGUCGAGUUCGCCCCACCUCGACGCUCCCGGAAGAAGAAACGGAAGCUGUGGCGAUCGCGACACGUCCAGGACUCGAAGCUGCUUGCUGUUACGCCUUCUCGAUGAUCUUGGUGGGAAGAAUCUGAAUCGCUACAAGAUGAUGUCCCACAAACUUCUCACCUGCAACUUUUUGCAAGACCCUGAUUACAGCAAUGAAAAAUGUAACACAUGAACUAUUUCUGACUUACACUUUGAAGCGUAUUUUUAUUCUUCUUUGUCUUCAUAGAUUAUUUAAGUUAGAAAAUUAAUACUAGCCUAUAAUUGUCCAGUAGCACUUGCAUAUUUUUCUUCUUUUUUUUUUGCUGUUGUUAAAAAUUAGGUCAGAAUACUCACCACCAAUUCUUAGGAGCUCCUCCAUUGUGCCAGGUAAUUUUAUCAUCUUUGCAGUUGGCUGUCUUGCUGGAUUUUCCUUUUGAGAGUACAUUUGAAUGGUCACUCUUUUGCUAGAUAGUUUCAUGAUAUUGUUCUCUGAAACAUGGCUGCCACUUUGUAAAUAAGAAGUUAUCAACAUUUGAUUAAUAUUUGGAUAAUGAUACCAGGAAUUCCUUUCCCUGCUGCCAUGGCUCUUAAAGUUAAUUCCAUUUUCAGAUGCUAUCAUGUCAACAGAUUCUAGUUCAUGUUCUCCAAGGAAGCUUUUCCUGUGUCCAAUACUUGAUAAAAGCUCAAAUGCACCCUCAUUGUCAUAUUUCUCAUGUUUGUCUUUUUGUCUCCACCUGAUACUAUCAGCUUUGUCAACUGCUUCUGCUUGUUUGAGUGGAAUGUUGUUGCUUUUGUUGUGUCCUCCCCAUGUAGGGAACCCAGUUUGUUGAUCAGCAUGGUCUACUUUUGGAUUGGCCUGACCAAUUGGAAGUUCAUCAACAAUGCUGAUAUCCUUGUUAUUUUCUGCCUCAGAUAGCAAGUUUCCUCCAUCCAUCUGUUCUAGUGCAUGUAGGUUCUGAACUUGAUUAUUAACUCCAUCUUGAGCAUGGUUCCCGUUCAUGUUCGUUGGUCCUAUGUCAAACCAUUCUUUGAGGAGUGCUCCUGGGUCAUUUUGCUGUACUCCGGGAUAUAACCUUGCAUGUAGCCUUAACUUCUAUAAGAUUUAAAAUAGAGAAACAUCAACUCCUACAAAUGCCAAAAAUGCUAAAUCAUGUUCUAUAUUUAGUUAAACUGUUCUGGGUGAUUCUUGAAUAUACCUGGAAAAGAUUUCUCAUGACAAUAGUUGCAUCCUGUUUGCUUUCUCGAAUAGUGCUGAAAAAUACAGACCUGCUCAGCCUGAGAAUUUGUGCAAGUUCAAUGGUUCUUAUGGUGAAUGGCUGUGGUAUGUGACAGAGAACUCCUAUCUCCCCAAAUACUUCCCCUGCAGUUACCCUCUCAUGAACCUGAAAUUGGUAUGUGGUCACACUUGAUAUUGUCAACAUUGGACAUCCUAAUGUGCUAUCGGUACUCGUUCUAUGAGUCUUACCUUGUCAACCCCAUCCACAUGUGUUCUCAUCUCCUACAGACAAGAUGUCAAGCAAAAAUUAGUCCUAUUUAUGGGAGGAAUUGAUUCAAAUAUCUUCACGACAGGCUUAAGCAAAGAAUGCAAAAGAGACGAAAUUGUACUAACCACUGUUCCCGAUACUACUAUAUAUAGAUCCGUUGGGGCUUCAUUCUGAAGUAUCACAUCUUCUUUUGGUGGAAAAUACUCCGCUUGCAUUUCUGUCACCUAUUAGUUUCACAAUGGUCUUAUCAGCACAAUGCAUAAAUUCAACCUGCCUAGGUUGUAAUUGAUCACUUGGGAUUGUAAGCCUCACCAGUUGAAAAAUGAGAUUGUAGGAGACCUCCUGGAAAAGAUAUACUCUUCGAACAAUGGGAAAGAAUAGACAUUCAGCUAUGCUUGAGCGAAUGGCCUUUGGGAGACCAUCAAGAGUCUCUUGCUGUUUGAGUUCCUCUGUCUUGAAUCUUAAGCAUAUGUGAGAUAGCAUCUGUUCCCCUAUGUGUUUUGGUAGCUUAUUUCUUGAUGCAAAUUCAGAAGCAGCGUGAAUGGUGUCCCUCUGAAGAUCAUAAUGAACACUUACUAACAGAAUAUGAAAUCCAAAUCCUCUGUUGAAUAGUUCUGGUAUAUAUUCUUCAAGCUAUUUCAAUAGUUCUCUUAACCCUUUGCCAAAGUGAUCAUGCAUUUCAAUUGAUCCUAUCAAUGAAAUAGAUUUAAGAAACAGAAAAUCUUUUUUAUUAGACUAGUUCUCUAGAAUGACUUGUGCAACCAGAUGAUUAAAAACGACACACUUUAUGUUCUGGGUUAUGGACUUUUUACAGUAUCUUGCAAGUACUGGUGAUGCAUGCUAUGAUAUUUAUUCUUAUUCUAGUAAAUAAGCAGGUAUAGGGUAGCUGACGCAAAAUAAGACAGCUAUAACAAACUUGGAGGAGAUAGGACAUACAAAGCUUUUUGUGCGACUUGUCCCAUGGACAACAAGGUUCGUCAUAUUUCCAAUGAGGCUAUCUUCCCUGAAGUUUGGUAUCACUGCACCGAUCCAGGUUCUUCCUGGGUCAGGGUAUCUAUCGGCAAUCAUAUAGUUAAAGCAUCCAGAACAGUGAACCGUGAAAAGAGUCACCUGUAGUACAAAAAGUUAUUGUACUGAGAACUUGUGGAGUUGUUUGAGGCAACACACUGAAUAAGAAGCUUACAGAGAAAAGCUUUGUGCACCGUGUCCAGAAAUAAUUCAACCGAAUAUCCUUCUCAAGUCUGAGGAAAGAAAAAUUAUCAAAAUAAUAUUUGUUCUUUUAUUGGUGAUAUAUAUACUGCAGAAUGGGAGGAGAAACAGACCUAGCAAACAGGGAACUGACACGAUGCAGCCGCCACAGCCUAAGCAUACUUAGAAGUUUAAAGCCAAGGCUAUUACCAUGUCUAUUGAAGAAGAAGCUGAUUGUUUGAAAGGGAAAUGUCGAACAUACAUCAAACAUGAACCAUGUGGACAGGUACCUGUGAAGUCAGAUUGUAUGAAGCUCAAACAGCAUCUAAGCUUCACGUCAUACAUGAUUCACAUAGAAUUUAGACACUAUAGUGAAGUAAAUAUUAGUACUUUCAAAGAAAUAGAAGACAAGUAAUAGUUAAAAUGCUAACCUGAUCGCUAUUCUUUUUGGAUCAUCAACAAGGAGAUAGGAUUUGUGGUCGAUGAAAGCAACAAAGAAGGUAAGUACAAUGUCAAUUGCAAAAAAACUAUUGACUAUGUUGUCCACAAGAAAGAUUGUGCUUGGCAGGUAUCUUAGAAAUGCAAACUCAAAUGGGCAGAUCCAGGCUGAGUAGAGAACCAGGAGUAUCAGAAACAUCUCCCACAAUCUGAAAGUGAUUGGUGAAAAUGGAAGAAAAUAAACUGCCUGAUUCUACAAAAUGUAAAUGUUAGAAACAAAGGGGCUGUUGAGUUGGUAUACCUGUAACGAGGAUCAUAUGGCGAAACAAUGUGUUUCCUGAGCUUAAUUGUAUUGUUUAUUGUUGCCCCAAGUGAUGGCAAAAGAUCACUGUGUGGACUGUAUGCCCCGUUUCCCAAUUGGAAGCCAUCGCUGCAGAAGUGCUGAAAGUAGUUUGUGCAAGAGAAUAGCAUGGCUGCACUAUGAUGCUUUUGUAGUCUGAUUGAUAUUUCAGUGGUGAUGGGAGUGGUUGUAUAUAUAACAAAGUGAAACUUGCUGUCUGUCUGUUGCCCUCUAUAUUAUGGGCUGGUUGGUAAAUGCAAAGCAAGGGGAUGAAUAAAGAUAAAGGUCAUGAGAGGGAAAAGGCAUCAGGAAUUUACUUGAAUUUAAUCAUUAGGGGCAAGAAAAACCACAGAUUGUGUUUUGAAUUGACGUCAGAACAUUAAUUUUCUUGAAACAAUGGAUGGAGGCUUUAUGUGAAAGAUACAAGUUAUGUGGUGGUGGAAACUCUACUUACAUGUUUGUGGUGGAUGUAAUUUUAGAAUGUCCAUGUAAAUUGUUGAUUUGAAGCGACUCUUCAUGAAACGUCAUACCAUAUUGAGGCCUUGUGAUGUUAAGUCGCUUUGGAGUUAAUUUUGAGGAAUUACAUCAUUUUAGAGUUUCUGAAACAUGUCAGAAGAUGGACGUGGCACCACAUUUUACAAUGAUGCAUGUUUAGUUUAGAUUGCACCAACUCUCAGUAGAGGUAUUCAGCUUAUCGUGAUGGAUGGUCACAACAGAAAGACUUCAUUUUCUUGUAACUCACUCACCAUUUUUGAGUUUCCUGAAACUUGCCAGAAGAUGUUCAUGGCACCACAUCUGGUGAUGCAUGUCUAGUCUAUGAAUGUUCCAAGAUGCUCAGAAGAGCUAUUCGUCUAAUCCUGAUCGAUGGUCAUGACAUAAAAACUUCAUUUUCUCUCUUCACAGUGAGCUUCAUAAGUUUUCCCUGAACCAUAUUGUUCUUCUUGGCACAAUGACAUUGCAUUCUGAUGGCAGUAAUCUAGCAAAGUUCUAUUAUAUUUCUAGUGUUGGCCUUGGAAUUUGUGACAUUGUGAGAAGUAGCAAUUCAGUUCAUGCAUCAUAAAACAGUAAUUCGAAGAUCAAGUCAGAUUAUGUGGCAACUCAAAAGGGUUACAAGUGCCACUUAACUUUGUGAAGCCAUGUACUAUGUCGGCAGAUGGUUAUCACAGAACUUCAAUCCCAGCCCUUUUGGAUGAACUGUUGCUCAAUGAAAACCAUGUGGUCGGAUCUUUGUGAAGAUCUAUCUAUCCAUCCAUGAUGAAUGUCUGCAUAAUGUAGAAUAACUCAGAUGUCAAACUUCGUGGUGGGUGUCAUGACUCAAUGAUUGAUGCAGAGGAAGAAUGGGACAUCACCUCUUUGUCACAGGGUCUGUUGCUAAGGUUGUCAUGGUUAUCAGGAAGAGCCGAGGGUUUACAGCAUUCAAAUGCGACAUUUGAGUUCUCUGUACUGACUGAGCACACAGGAUACAGCACCUUAGAGCUUUUACCAUAUUAACAGCUUAUGUUCCCUUCUGUCUUCCCCUCACUGGACAAAGAAGCUAGGGGAAAGAACAUCUUAAAUGCCAUAGGUCUGGAACCUGAUCCACAUAUUGGUUGGUUGGUUCUUUUAUUUUUAACCUCCAUCACUAAAUAGCUCGAGUCCCCGAUGCUCUGUACAAUAAUUUGGGAUAUCUUCCAUUCUUUGGUUAGCUCACCUCUCAUGUCCCAUCUCAUGGUCCCUCAAAGUGAAUUGGUCCACAUAAUUGAAAGGUUCUAUGGCCUAAGGAUUAGCCCACUGCUUCAUUAGUGCUUCUGUUAUCAUUCAAAUGGAUACUGCAUAACCUGAUCGAGAUUUGUAGAUUGGUGUUAUUGUUUUCUCCUUCAUUUUUGGUGUGAGACGAAUACGGUGGCAAGACUCUCCUUUAGCUCUUUGUGGUUGCUUUUUGAGAUGUACCAUGACAUUUGACACAGUGUAGCUUGUGAGUUCUACAUGGCACCCCAGUUACCUCAUCUCAACUGAGUGGAACUUGGUGGACAGGCAAAGGCAGGGUCAAGGUGGACCAACAAAGUAUGGCUUUCCCCUGGAGUCCUGAUGUUUGGUGGUCCUCUUGGAAAAUUGGAGGAGUACAACACUAUUCAUCAGCAAUCUUUGACGGUCUCUUGAGCAUUUUAGCUUUGCAGAGGUGUUGUAGCGAGGACCGUUCACCAUGCUGGUAUCGAGUGGUUUGAUCAUUCAAGCAACCAAUCUCCCUCAUCCUGCGUGGCUCUCUCACAAACCGCAAACCAUUCAUGUGCUGCUCACAAGGAGAUCAUGCCUACCCCUCGUCCCAUGGUGGCAGGUGGGAGUUGACAUAGAUCACUUUCCAAGAUUUCUGAUGUUUCUGUGGAGUGAAUCAGCACCCAAACAUUUUGUCACCUCUCACCAGCUUGAUGAGUGGGAUUGAUCUAGUGGAUUUCCCAUCCCCCAAACUGGAUAAAGGAAAUCAUCUGUUGAAGACUGUUGAUUGGACUAGAUCAUGAAUGACAUGGAAAGCUUGGUCAUCUACGCAAGAGGAUUGAGUGUUGAUCGCACUAGAUUAUGGUAUUAAGUGAUGCAAACACCUGCAUGCGACAAGUGCCGGAUUUGUUGCAAGGAAUAACAUCACGGAAACAAUUAUUGUGAUGACUACCCAACACCUAAACAGCACACUACUCAUGGCAAAGACUGUUGUGGCUUGGGAUGACGGCCAACCACCUUCAUGUUUAAACUCCUGCUGUGGAAGGAGAUUCUAUCACACAGAUUAUUUAUGUCGAAGAAAAUGGUAUCCAUGUGCCUACCACAUGAUAUUUCUGAGUAUGGUUUACCAUGGAUCAUUGUCGUCGGCAUCCGACUGGGCUGCAACUUUUGGGACCGCCAUGACCGUCUCCAGAGAUGGACCGUUUGUUUCCCUGUGGAUAUUCGGGCUCAAGAUUAGCUUGUGUCGGUGAGAUUACUGUUUGAGCCCCAGGAAAGUUUCAAGAUUUCCCAACUCCGAGUCGGCUCGACUCCUGCCGUGCCGGACUCGGUUCAGAAUGGCGUCGACGUCGUCGUACCACGACGACCAGGACAUCAAGUGGUCCGUGUUGCCAAGUUGAAGUAGAGUACCACCUGCUUGUCAAAAUGCCACAUUGGAACCAUAUGCUACGAGUCCUAUUCACCACUGCAUUAUGGAGCGAACCCGUCCAUGGUGGACGGCCGUCGUGUUGUAAGAGUCCAACGUGACUGUUCCCUCUCUCUGGAGCCAAUGGAGACUGUACUCUCCACUUCUUCAAGGAUUAGGCAGAGGAGUGAGAUUCGACUCUCCGGGCGCCGAGAAGCUGUGUUCUCUUUGCUAGCUGUGGGAGAGGACUGCAACCAGCAGUCGCACAAGUAAAUAACAGGGUGCAUCUAAUUGAGGUUCUCUUUCCACCUUCUAGUCAUUUUGGAAGUAAGCUGGGGGGGAAGGAGGAGGGGGAGUUGACCUAUGACUUAAGGUGGUCCUACCAUAUCUACAAUAAUUUGCCGAGCUAUUCCCAUCCACCUUCCAUUCCAUGGGAAACCUUAUUUUGGUUAACUCGUGCAAUAAUUGAAGGGAUACCACUAACUCUGGUUCAUCGUCAGGUUUAAGGUCACAUCUAUAGUGGGUGCAUGUUUCGCUUGAUCGAGGAACAGGACAUUUCUCUUCUCGAUAAACGUGCGGCGGCAGACGACCGGUGAUCAUGGCGAAAUCACCCUCGUCACUCACCUUUGUCGUUGUGACAGUUCAUAUUUUGUUCGUUGUCAUCCUUCUCCGUCGUAUGAUUGUAAGUAGCAAGGCUAGGCUUGUGACAUCCGGGGACUUUCUGCCAUUUUGAAACUGCAGCUGCCGAAUUAAGUUCUUGUUGCAAUCAA